rnacentral:rRNA from 1 species
GCAUAUCGAUGAGCGGAGGAAAAGAAAAUAACAAUGAUUCCCCCAGUAACGGCGAGUGAAGAGGGAAGAGCCCAAAUUUGGAAUCUGGCGUCUUUCAGGCGUCCGAGUUGUAAUCUGGAGAGGCCAUAUUCGUGUCGGACCGUAGCAAAGUCUGCUAUUAUGCAGCGCCAGAGAGGGUGUUAGCCCCGUUUGUACUAUGGAUCCCCGAUGCUUAGAGUAGGUCUUCAAAGAGUCGAGUUGUUUGGGAAUGCAGCUCUAAGAGGGUGGUAAAUUCCAUCUAAGGCUAAAUAACGGCGAGAGACCGAUAGCGCACAAGUACCGUGAGGGACAGAUGAAAAGCACUUUGGAAAGAGGGUGAAAAAGUACGUGAAAUCACUGAAAGGGAAGCGCUUGAGGUUAGACGUGCAUUGUAUGAUUCAGCCAAUCUUUGGAGAGGUGUAUUUCGUACUAUUGCAGGCCAGCGUCAGUUUUGUGUGCUGGAUAAGGGUAUAGGGAAUGUAGCAGUAGCUUCGGCUGCUGUAUUAUAGACCUUUACUGGAUACAGCAUGCGGGACUGAGGAACGCAGCGUGCCUUUAUGGCCAAUCCUGCGGGAUUGUGUACGCUUAGGAUGCUGGCAUUAAUAGCCUUAAACGACCCGUCUUGAAACACGGACCAAGGAGUCUAACAUGCUUGCAAGUAUGUGGGUGUCAAGCCCUUGUGCGUAAUGAAAGUAAACGUAGGUGGGAGCCCUUCGCGGGGUGCACCAUCGACCGGCUUGAAACUACGUGUGAAAAGUCUGAGUAGGAGCAAGUAUGUCGGGACCCGAAAGAUGGUGAACUAUGCCUGAAUAGGGUGAAGCCAGAGGAAACUCUGGUGGAGGCUCGUAGCGGUUUCUGACGUGCAAAUCGAUUCGUCGAAUUUGGGUAAUAGGGGGCGAAAGACUAAUCGAACCCAUCUAGUAGCUGGGUUCCUGCC